rnacentral:rRNA from 1 species
UACGGGGGGGCAAGCGUUGUUCGGAAUUACUGGGCGUAAAGGGCUCGUAGGUGGCCAACUAAGUCAUACGUGAAAUCCCUCAGCUUAACUGGGGAACUGCGUCUGAUACUGGAUGGCUUGAGAUUGGGAGAGGGAUGCGGAAUUCCAGGUGUAGCGGUGAAAUGCGUAGAUAUCUGGAGGAACACCGGUGGCGAAGGCGGCAUCCUGGACCAACGCUGGCACUGAGGAGCGAAAGCCAGGGGAGCAAACGGG